rnacentral:rRNA from 1 species
AGACUAGAAUGAAUGGAUAAAUGAAGUAAUGCUUUCUUAAAUUAAAUAUUAUAAAUAUUUUUUAUAGUGAAGAAACUAUAAUAAAUAUGAGGGACGAGAAGACCCUAUUAAGCUUAAUAAAAUUAUUUUGUUGGGGAAACAAAAGAAUAAAAUUUCUUAAGAAAUUUUAUAAUGAUAAUUAAGAUUUAUUAUUAAUAAUAAUAGAACAAGUUACUAUAGGGAUAACAGCAUAAAUUCUUUUAAAAGUUCAUAUUAACAAAGAUAUUUAUGACCUCGAUGUUGGAUUAUUAAUAUUAUAUGAUGAAGUUGUUGUAUAAAUUAGUCUGUUCGACUAUUAAAUUUUUAC